rnacentral:rRNA from 1 species
AAUCCAUAGGUUAAUGAGGCGAACCGGGGGAACUGAAACAUCUAAGUACCCCGAGGAAAAGAAAUCAACCGAGAUUCCCCCAGUAGCGGCGAGCGAACGGGGAGGAGCCCAGAGCCUGAAUCAGCAUGUGUGUUAGUGGAAGCGUCUGGAAAGGCGCGCGAUACAGGGUGACAGCCCCGUACACAAAAGCGCAUGUGCUGUGAGCUCGAUGAGUAGGGCGGGACACGUGGUAUCCUGUCUGAAUAUGGGGGGACCAUCCUCCAAGGCUAAAUACUCCUGACUGACCGAUAGUGAACCAGUACCGUGAGGGAAAGGCGAAAAGAACCCCGGCGAGGGGAGUGAAAAAGAACCUGAAACCGUGUACGUACAAGCAGUGGGAGCCCCACCACCAAAGCAUUUGCUGUACCGCGUUGACGGAGCGAAGCGACGUCAAACCGAUAAAACAGCAGUGUAAAGUGAGCCGCAGGGCGCUUUGCGCGACAGCGCAAAGGCAGGCGGUUUCGCGUAGCGAAAGCGAAUGCUUUGGGGUGGGGUGACUGCGUACCUUUUGUAUAAUGGGUCAGCGACUUAUAUUCUGUAGCAAGGUUAACCGAAUAGGGGAGCCGGAGGGAAACCGAGUCUUAAUUGGGCGUUAAGUUGCAGGGUAUAGACCCGAAACCCGGUGAUCUAGCCAUGGGCAGGUUGAAGGUUGGGUAACACUAACUGGAGGACCGAACCGACUAAUGUUGAAAAAUUAGCGGAUGACCUGUGGCUGGGGGUGAAAGGCCAAUCAAACCGGGAGAUAGCUGGUUCUCCCCGAAAGCUAUUUAGGUAGCGCCUCGUGAAUUCAUCUCCGGGGGUAGAGCACUGUUUCGGCUAGGGGGCCAUCCCGGCUUACCAACCCGAUGCAAACUGCGAAUACCGGAGAAUGUUAUCACGGGAGACACACGGCGGGUGCUAACGUCCGUCGUGAAGAGGGAAACAACCCAGACCGCCAGCUAAGGUCCCAAAGUCAUGGUUAAGUGGGAAACGAUGUGGGAAGGCCCAGACAGCCAGGAUGUUGGCUUAGAAGCAGCCAUCAUUUAAAGAAAGCGUAAUAGCUCACUGGUCGAGUCGGCCUGCGCGGAAGAUGUAACGGGGCUAAACCAUGCACCGAAGCUGCGGCAGCGACGCUUAUGCGUUGUUGGGUAGGGGAGCGUUCUGUAAGCCUGCGAAGGUGGCCUGUGAGGGUUGCUGGAGGUAUCAGAAGUGCGAAUGCUGACAUAAGUAACGAUAAAGCGGGUGAAAAGCCCGCUCGCCGGAAGACCAAGGGUUCCUGUCCAACGUUAAUCGGGGCAGGGUGAGUCGACCCCUAAGGCGAGGCCGAAAGGCGUAGUCGAUGGGAAACGGGUUAAUAUUCCCGUACUUGGUGUUACUGCGAAGGGGGGACGGAGAAGGCUAUGUUGGCCGGGCGACGGUUGUCCCGGUUUAAGCGUGUAGGUGUGUGUUCCAGGUAAAUCCGGUUCACUUUAACACUGAGGCGUGACGACGAGGCACUACGGUGCUGAAGCAACAAAUGCCCUGCUUCCAGGAAAAGCCUCUAAGCAUCAGGUAACAUCAAAUCGUACCCCAAACCGACACAGGUGGUCAGGUAGAGAAUACCAAGGCGCUUGAGAGAACUCGGGUGAAGGAACUAGGCAAAAUGGUGCCGUAACUUCGGGAGAAGGCACGCUGACACGUAGGUGAAGUGAUUUACUCAUGGAGCUGAAGUCAGUCGAAGAUACCAGCUGGCUGCAACUGUUUAUUAAAAACACAGCACUGUGCAAACACGAAAGUGGACGUAUACGGUGUGACGCCUGCCCGGUGCCGGAAGGUUAAUUGAUGGGGUCAGCGCAAGCGAAGCUCCUGAUCGAAGCCCCGGUAAACGGCGGCCGUAACUAUAACGGUCCUAAGGUAGCGAAAUUCCUUGUCGGGUAAGUUCCGACCUGCACGAAUGGCGUAAUGAUGGCCAGGCUGUCUCCACCCGAGACUCAGUGAAAUUGAACUCGCUGUGAAGAUGCAGUGUACCCGCGGCAAGACGGAAAGACCCCGUGAACCUUUACUAUAGCUUGACACUGAACAUUGAGCCUUGAUGUGUAGGAUAGGUGGGAGGCUUUGAAGUGUGGACGCCAGUCUGCAUGGAGCCGACCUUGAAAUACCACCCUUUAAUGUUUGAUGUUCUAACGUGGACCCGUUACCCGGGUUGCGGACAGUGUCUGGUGGGUAGUUUGACUGGGGCGGUCUCCUCCUAAAGAGUAACGGAGGAGCACGAAGGUUGGCUAAUCCUGGUCGGACAUCAGGAGGUUAGUGCAAUGGCAUAAGCCAGCUUGACUGCGAGCGUGACGGCGCGAGCAGGUGCGAAAGCAGGUCAUAGUGAUCCGGUGGUUCUGAAUGGAAGGGCCAUCGCUCAACGGAUAAAAGGUACUCCGGGGAUAACAGGCUGAUACCGCCCAAGAGUUCAUAUCGACGGCGGUGUUUGGCACCUCGAUGUCGGCUCAUCACAUCCUGGGGCUGAAGUAGGUCCCAAGGGUAUGGCUGUUCGCCAUUUAAAGUGGUACGCGAGCUGGGUUUAGAACGUCGUGAGACAGUUCGGUCCCUAUCUGCCGUGGGCGCUGGAGAACUGAGGGGGGCUGCUCCUAGUACGAGAGGACCGGAGUGGACGCAUCACUGGUGUUCGGGUUGUCAUGCCAAUGGCACUGCCCGGUAGCUAAAUGCGGAAGAGAUAAGUGCUGAAAGCAUCUAAGCACGAAACUUGCCCCGAG